AGACAGGCCCCAGAGACUACACACCAGUCAUGUGGGAUCUUAGUUUCCGGACCAAGGAUGAAACCCACACCUCCUGCAUUGGAAGCAUGAGUCUUAACCACUGGACCACCGGAAAAGUCCCUGGGUUCUAGUUCUGACUCCGCCACUCAUUGUGUGACCUUUGAUGUGGACACAGAUGCACUGAGUCAAGAGACCUGCCCAAGGAAGGCAUCCAGAGCUGGAAUGUGAGCCCAGGUGGGGAUUCUGCCCUGGAGCAUCUGGACCUUACCCCAGGAGGCCCGUGAGUGAAGGGACGUGGCCAAGUCUCCUGGGUCAGGCCGAGACAGGGGAGCUCACUAAGCAAAUCUUGAGAGGCUUUGAUAAAGCGAUCACCACUGACCAAAAGAAG
ensembl:lncRNA